UACGGAGGGGGCAAACGUUGUUCGGAAUUACUGGGCGUAAAGGGUGCGUAGGCGGUUCGGCAAGUCUAGUGUGAAAUCUCCCAGCCUACCUGGGAAACUGCGCUGGAAACUGCCGAGCUCGAGGAUGGGAGAGGCAGAUGGAAUUCCUGGUGUAGCGGUGGAAUGCGUAGAUAUCAGGAAGAACACUCGUGGCGAAGGCGGUCUGCUGGCCCAUUUCUGACGCUGAGGCACGAAAGCCAGGGGAGCAAACGGG
rnacentral:rRNA from 1 species